GAGAGCCACGUCAUUGGUGUCCAUCUUUUCUCUCUUUUGUUUUCUCCGGCGACAAGGGUUUUGUUAGCUUCAACGUUCAUAUCGUCGACGGUUUUCCAGGGUCAAAGUCAUAACGGUCUUCAGAGCCGUUGCCCGCCAUUCCCGGAUGCCAGCUGUCUCGGCCUGCGCGUGUUUCACUUGGACUUAUAUAUAUCUCCCGUACUCACACUCACACUCUUUUCUUCAUCACAUUCUCACAUUAGAAUCAGAGCGCUCCAUCAACGGCCUCUUCCCUUUUGAGUGUUCGCUGCCGAAACCAAACGCUAGAUUGUUACCAGACAAUCGGAGGAUGAGAGAGCAGAAUUGAAAGACGUUUCUAGCCUCGUCUCGGUGAUGAGCAAUAGAGGUAGAAGAAAGAAUUUGGUCAGCUGAAGAGGAAAAGGCAGAGUCUAAGAAAGAAUUUGGUGCAGAGUCUAAAAAGAUAUGGAAAUGGUGGACAUUAUGGAGAUAAAUAAAGUUGAGGUCAUUCUACGAGGAAUCCCACUCCGAUUGCUACUUUGAACACUCCAUAAUGUAAGAAUUUUCUAUUUGACAUCAUGAACUACCAUAUAUCCGGUCUGGUUCUCGCAGGAAUUACAUUUUUGGCAAUGUUGUGGUCCUAAUAAGGUUAGAUUCCUAAGUUUAACUUUUAUUAUGUCUUUGUUUUUCUUUUUUGAUGUUCUUUGUGCUUCCGAUAUCACGUUUUUAUUCUUUUAAACUACAAUAAAGGAUUUAAUGAAUGUUAAAGUCAAAGAGGUUCAUGAG